GAAAAAGGUACGGUAUAGGUAUCAUGGUAUAUUUUUUAUGCGCCUGUUUUUCGCCGUUAAAUGUUGCAGCCUAAUUUUGGAUCGAGAAUUAAGUGCGACGAAGAUGGCCGUUAAUAAUAGUUCUACUACUUUAAGAACACGGGUCAGAUUUGGACAAUGACUUCGAAGGCAUAUUCGCAGUAGACCAAACAGAGAAAGAGAGGGAGACACAAAACCACCUGUCUCGGUGUCACACAUGAGGAGUUGAGGAGGAGAUGGAAGUCGGUGAAUAUGACCUGGCCUGGGGGAGUUUUCCAGAAGAAGGCCCAGAAUCGCCAGAUGCCAGGAGUGGAGAUCCUUCGUUGCUGCCCUACAUGCUAGGAGGCAUCGGGCAGUAGAUGCUGUAAUUUGAAAUGGAAGGUGUCCUACCAAUAAAUUUUCAUCCCACCUGAACUGCCUUGCUUGCCUGCUCUAUUUUUCAUCAUCGUUCGUUUCGGCCUGUAUGAAGUGAAUUUCACAUUGAUUGGUGGAGCUGCUAAGUUGGCAUUACAGGGCCACACCGGGGUAUGAUCCUUGGAGUUGAACAUCAUGACUGCUGGUCGGCGAAGGGGAUGGGAUCGAUCAAUGUCGCAUGGAGUAAGAUGGAUACCAGUCUGCUUUGCUUCAUUUCGAACAAUCUCAUACGGAUACGGAUAUUAUUGCGACAGGAGUACUGCUCGAUGUGGUCAAGCCUAUUUGACAAAGCAUUAUGGUGUUAGUCAUGUUAUCAGAAACAGAUUUUUUAAAAUCACGGAGUUGCUUCAAUUUAGUAUCGAUAGAUAUUUCAAGAACGUAUGGACUAGUGAGCUUUUCAUCAAGAAUUUCACGUAAUUUAUUUUCGCGCUUAUCUAUGUCAUCAUUGAGUUUUUGUCUCUCGCGUUCCAUUGCCACGGCCACCGCUCUUUGAACGACUGUAUCAAUAUGAUCUAGGUAUGCUGGGCUUUGUUUAGAUCCAGUUAAUGAUGAAGCAGAGGAUAGUGUACAUGCGUUAGCCGAGUGCAAGCGGCCUCUUGAUCUGGUGGAUAUCUUAGACAUGUUGUUAGAGAUUACGUAAUGAUAUAAUUGAAAAAUGGGAUGGGCUGUGCAUCUGUCAACUCACCAGUCAACCAAUUAGAGACGGCCUUCCAAAGUGACACAGCACGAAAAUAUCAAUAUGGGACUGGUCUAGUCAACACAUAGAUCCUGAAAAAAACCAUGGAGACCGCAGACGCAAAAUGACUUCCAUACAUAAAGAUAUGAUGCACAAUUUCCAGUGGGUUAAAAAAACUGAACACAUGCUAUGCAGAUACACAGACUAUCAUAAGAACUUUAUCAAGCAUAGGAAAUCUGGUAUGAAAUCUCUCAGCUCACAUAAAAAGCCAACGUAGCUACAUGUAGGGAAGAAAAUGAAAAUGCGUAAUUGCUGAGAAAUGAGCAAAAUAAGCAUGUAAUUCAAAUGUCAGUUAUUUUUCGAAUCGAUUAUAAUACACUGUCCCACAUAUGCUUUUCUGUGUUCAUAGCGAUCAUCAGAAUUAUCGAUUUUAAGUUUAAAUAAUUCAUGAUUUUACAAAGAUACAAGUUUACAUUAAUGUACCAGAUGUAGAUUAUGUACAAUAUAUUGACCAUUAACUUUGAUUUUAUAGAUUUUCUCAAGAAAUAAUUGUUUGCUGCAACUACUGUCUUUUCCUUCUAAGUGAUAGUGUUAUACAACAGUUCCACAAACUAUUUUCAUCAGACUUAUUUAUGUAUGAUUCUUUCACCCAAAUGCCAGCUUCCAUAAAUCCUGAAAACUUUGCAACUCAGGCAUUUUUUUUUUACAUACAGUAUAUUUUUUCCUACAUUACAUAGUUGCCUUAAGUUAAUAGCCCACCUCUAGUAGUAACUAUCUUAAAAGAGUUCGAACAGAAUCCAACAGAAUUACCAGCAAAGUGUAUGUAUAUAUAAAAGAUGUGUGCCAAAUAGCUCGGGAAGAAAAUGUGUAAUUGCUGAGAAAUGAGCAAAAUAAGCAUGUAAUUCUAUCAAAUGUCAAGUAUUUUUCGAAUCAAUCAUAAUACACUGUCCUGUCCCACAUAUGCUUUUCUGUGUUAGUGAUCAUCAGAAUUAUUGAUUUUAAGUUCAAAAUUCAUGAUUUUACAAAGAUACAAGUUUACAUUAAUUUACCAGGCCCCCGUCUUACAAAGAGUUAUGAUUGAUCCGAUCAAGCGCAACUAUGGACGGCCAGCAACGUUAACAUCUAUUAAGCAUGUUUGUUCAAAAUAUUUUCUAGCUAUGAUGUGUGUUCAUGCAUUCAUUGUUUUCUCAAAAAUUUGCUGCGCUUCUCUUUGCAUACAUAGGACAUUGUGCAAAUUUUUCGUAGAAAAAAAUUAUGACACUGAUGGGUUUCCUUAGAGUUAUGAUUGAUCGGAUCAAUGGUAACUCUUUGUGGGGCCCAGAUCUAGAUUAUGUACAAUAUUUUGACAAUUAACCUUAAUUUAAAAGACUUUCCGAAGAAUUAAUUGUUUGCUGCAACUACUCUCUUUUACCCCUACAUGUAAGUGAUAGUGUAAUACAACCCAAACUUUUCAUAAGAAGUAAUGUACAUGUAUGAUUCUUUCACCCAAAUGCGAGCUAUCAUAAAUCCUGAAAUUAUUCCAACUCGUGUAUUUUUUUUUACAUACAUUACAUAGUUGUCUAAAGUUGAAGGUAUAUUUAAUUACAAUUUCAACGAAAAAGCUUUAUUCUUGGAAAUCAUUAUGCCUCUGUUAUGUAUUAAUGUGUAUUUAUACAUGUACAAUUGUAUGUAUUGGUAUAACAAACAUUGUAAUUUCAUUCCUUUGACCCUAAUACUGCAUUUUCAUAGAAUGAUAGAAAAGUGUUUUUUUUUUCAAUCUAUUUAGAGUUUUCAACUUUUUGUUUUCCCUUUUUUUUGCUGGUAAUAUCAUGUUAUGCAACUUUUAUUUAUUAAUAGAAUAUUUGCCACGAUUUCGUAAUUGAAAUGCGUACAUGUAUUUGAUUUCGUUUUCCAUUUUUGUAUAUAUUCUUUUUUUUUUUGGGGGGGGUCAUGUUCUUGAGACUGAGACAAGUUAUGCAAGGCCCUGGCAUGGAGGAUCAUUAUAUUACUGGGAAUGCUAGACAUUGUCAGACCACCUCAGUAGUCACCAAAUAUAGAUAAUCCUCAAUGACAAGGUCUUUGAAGUGAUGUGUGUAUGUACAUUGCAUGUAGAAUUUAAUGUUAAGGUCAUUAUCACGUCAGAAUACGUUAAGAUAUCAUAGUUGACUCCAAAAGACGUCAUAUUCAUUUCAAUAUGCGACGUCAAUAUGACGUCUAUUACUAGUCAGCAAUAUGUUGCAAAGUCGUCAUUCAGACGUCGUAGAUGACUUAUAAAGACGUCAUAAUUACAUCAAUAUGACGUCUGAAACUGGUCAGGAAUACGUUACAAAGUUGUCAUUAAGACGUCGUAGAUGACUUUUAAAGACGUCAUAAUUACAUCAAUAUGACGUCUAAAACCGGUCAGGAACACGUUGCACGGAUGUCAUUAAGACGUCGUGGUUGACUCUCGAAGACGUCAUAAUCACGUCAAUACACGACGUCAAUCUGACCCUUGAUACUGGUCAGGAAAACGUUGUAAAAACGUUGCAAAGACGUCAUUAAGACGUCGUAGUCACUCUUGGAGACGUCAUAAUGACGUCAAUAUACGACGUCAUAAUGACGUUAUUCGCGGGUGCAAGAUCCCGUGAUUAAGACGUCAUGUUACGACGUCAAUAUGACGUGAGACUCGUCGUAAAAAUGACGUAAAUAAAACGUCA